CUACGGGGGGCACCAGUGGGGAAUAUUGGACAAUGGGGGAAACCCUGAUCCAGCAAUGCCGCGUGUGUGAAGAAGGCCUGCGGGUUGUAAAGCACUUUCGGUUGGGAGGACUGCUUCUAGCACUAAUAUUGUUGGAAGUUGACGUUACCUUCAGAAGAAGCACCGGCUAACUCCGUGCCAGCAGCCGCGGGUAAUACGGAGGGUGCAAGCGUUAAUCGGAAUUACUGGGCGUAAAGCGCGCGUAGGCGGCUAGAUCAGUCGGGUGUGAAAGCCCCGGGCUUAACCUGGGAACUGCAUCCGAAACUGUCUAGCUUGAGUACAGGAGAGGAGAGUGGAAUUCCACAUGUAGCGGUGAAAUGCGUAGAUAUGUGGAGGAACACCAAUGGCGAAGGCAGCUCUCUGGCCUGAUACUGACGCUGAGGUGCGAAAGCGUGGGGAGCAAACAGGAUUAGAUACCCCAGUAGUC
rnacentral:rRNA from 1 species